rnacentral:lncRNA from 1 species
UGAUGAGCAUAAACUUUGGGUUAAAGUUAUGAGCAAAAAUGCUUCAUAUUAUAAAAUAAACAACAAAACACAAAAUAAGGGAUACCAAAUACAAAAUAUAAGAUAAAGAAGGGCAAAAAUGAAAACGAAUGUUGUGGUUUUUUGUUGUUGUUGUUGAUAGAAAUAAAACUAAUAGGCUAACAGCUAUGAAAUGAAAAUGAAUUAACAAGCAGGAGAUGAGUCUUAGAAAGAGUCUUAACGGGCAUUGAAUUAAUUAACUGCGCAACGCGUCUCAGGGUCCCAAUCGUGCAGCCUGCUUUCUGAUACAGACUUGAGAAGAGAAAGAGGAGGUCAAAGCCUCACACCCUAAAUCCAUGGAACCCACAAAAAAAGUUUUUGCCUGCUGGAUUUAAAGAUGACACUUGUCCUUUUUCAGACAAGUCACCACUGAUUAGUGCAUGAUGAUGAUGAUGGGUCACACAACAAAAGCACAACCGAAUCUCAAAUCUCUAUUCUAUUAUUCUAUUGUAAAGAACAUUCGAUGUGCAUGCUUAUCUUCAAUUUCCAUUCGAUUCUAGUCCUUUCCC